rnacentral:snoRNA from 2 species
AUCCCUUUGUAGUUCAUAAGCAUGAUGAUCAGGUUUUCAGGCACAUGUGUGCAGUGUGUCUCCCUCAAACUUUGUUAGGAUGCCAGCAAGCUACCCAUCAGACU